rnacentral:rRNA from 1 species
ACGUAGGGGGCAAGCGUUGUCCGGAUUCACUGGGUGUAAAGGGCGCGUAGGCGGGCUAGCAAGUCAGUGGUGAAAUCUUGCAGCUUAACUGCAAAACUGCCGUUGAUACUGCUGUUCUUGUGUGUGGAAGAGAGAGGCGGAAUUCCAGGUGCAGUAGUUAAAUACGUAGAUAUCUGGAAGAACACCAAUUGCGAAGGCUGCUUCUUGGUCCAUAACUGACGCUGAGGCGCGAAAGCGUGGGGAGCAAACAG